rnacentral:rRNA from 1 species
UGGGGAAUAUUGGACAAUGGGCGAAAGCCUGAUCCAGCCAUGCCGCGUGUGUGAAGAAGGUCUUCGGACUGUAAAGCACUUUAAGUUGGGAGGAAGGGCAGUAAGUUAAUACCUUGCUGUUUUGACGUUACCGACAGAAUAAGCACCGGCUAACUCUGUGCUAG